rnacentral:rRNA from 1 species
CCUACGGGUGGCUGCAGUGGGGAAUAUUGGACAAUGGGGGGAACCCUGAUCCAGCCAUGCCGCGUGUGUGAAGAAGGCCCUCGGGUUGUAAAGCACUUUCAGUGAGGAAGAACGCCUGGUGGUUAAUACCCAUCAGGAAAGACAUCACUCACAGAAGAAGCACCGGCUCAACUCCGUGCCAGCAGCCGCGGGAAUACGGAGGGUGCGAGCGUUAAUCGGAAUUACUGGGCGUAAGCGCGCGUAGGUGGCUUGAUAAGCCGGUUGUGAAAGCCCCGGGCUCAACCUGGGAACGGCAUCCGGAACUGUCAAGCUAGAGUGCAGGAGAGGAAGGUAGAAUUCCCGGUGUAGCGGUGAAAUGCGUGGAGAUCGGGAGGAAUACCAGUGGCGAAGGCGGCCUUCUGGACUGACACUGACACUGAGGUGCGAAAGCGUGGGUAGCAAACAGGAUUAGAUACCCUUGUAGUC